GAUUGCCGGGUAAAAUUAAAGCAUUCAUAAUGUCAGCUUCUGCCUCAAAUGCAAGGCACAAGAAACUUCUGUCCGGUUAUUUGGCUUCAAACAAGACCUCAAAGAAAGAUGGAGAUGUUAAUCGUGACAACGGCUCACAGCCCUCUGCAGUGGAUCUCACAGAAAUGAUGAAGGGCACCCAUCUAGGACGCACCAAUCAGAGUCACCCUCAGAAACAACCGUCCAAUAGGAGUUCAUUAUCUACAGCCACUGGCUCUUCUAAAUCCAGAGGGACAGAGGCACCUAGAGGACGGAAAAUACCAGGAGUUUUAAAGAGAAGAGCAACCAUCUAUGACCUGCCAGAAGAAGUUUUGUUUCAACUGAUGAGUUAUCUCCCAGCCAGCAGCCUGAUCAACUGCUCCUGUGUUUGUAAGAAAUGGCAUCAUUUAGCAAAUGACAAUACACUGUGGAGGAGUCUUUAUUGCUCUUAUGCUACUAGUAAGAUCGACUUGGUCGGACAUCGGCUGAAACCACUGGACACCGAGUCUCACGAUAAAACGUGGAAAAGAAAAUGCAUCAGAAAGUGUAUUGAGAAACGUGAUGCAAGAAUUCCGACCAUGCUCAAGAAAUCGAACCCCUAUACACAUCUCCCUGAUCGCUCUGAUAAAUCAAUUCAAUUACUCGGUAUAACUUGGGAGUUGGUUCUUAAAGACAGCAACAAGUCGAGUUUUACUUUUGCGUCUUCAGACUCAUUCUCCUUCCCGAUGUCUCACACAGUCAGGUUUUACCAUCUGGAGUUUCCACCAAUCAAAACCCUGAAGAGCCUGUCAAUCAUCGCUAAGGCGCCAAUCUUCUUCAAAGGAAGUAAAGUUGCAGAUAACAGUCCGUGUCAAAGUUCACUACUCAUCCAGCAUGACCUGUGUUGGAAAAACUUGUCGACUAGUCAUCCACCUGAUGCUUAUGAUGACCUUGUUGACCUUAGGGUCAUAGGUCAUUGUGUACUCGUGGCUACAUGGAAGGAUGGUGGAGAGUUGGCGUUUAUAUCAGUGUGCCUUCACAAUCAUGGAUUAAUACAAAGAUGUACGCAAGGAUCACAAGAGAGAAUAUGCAGUCUACCUUCCUGCCGGCCCAAACCUGACGAUAUUGACCCAAACCAUGGUUUACAUGACUUCACGUGUAUUGUGGAGCUACGAAAUCAGCGCAGUAAUUUCUGGGGACAACAGUUCAAGAAUGUGCAUUGCUGCGAGCAAAAUAGAGAAGGAAGAUUUGUAAGGUUAAUUCCAGUCAGACCUGAUGUCAUGAGUGAUCAUUCCUUCACAUCUAAAAAGCUUCAGUUACCAUGGAAAUCAGAUUUAUUCAAAGGAAUAGUGCAGGAUUUCUGCAUUUUGGAUGUAACGUUACAUGAUGAAUUCCUUCAACCUUUCUGGUGCAUCAGUUGCCCAGUUGCUGUCAAAGAAGCACAGGAAACAAUUGGUAAGUAUUGGCAUUUCCAUUUUUAAAAUUUAAAAAUCAAAAUAAUAAAUAUCUUAUACGCUAAAUAUCUCCUUACAAAGAAAGAAUUAAUUGAUUAAUUUUCAGCCAGCCUGAAAAUUCAUAUUUCAAAAUUCCCUUUUUCAGCAUGAAUGCUCAUUUGUCUUUUUUUAUUUAUAGUAAACUACAACUACGAUGGUGAACCAUACAUGAUUCAACACAAUGGAGAAAAAGGCUCAGUGCAAGUGCAUAUGGUUUGGGAUCAAAGCAGAGACCAGUUUGCUGUAAUAGGUGUCUUUCUUGAUGUUUCAAUGGAUGCUAUCAAUGAUUGGUUCUCAACAAACUACUGAGGAAUUAGUAUCCACUAUCAUCAAUACACUACCUGGGCCCAAUUUCAUAGAGCUGCUAAGCACAAAAUUUUGCUUAGCGUGAAAUUUCUUCCUUGAUGAA